AAUAGCCAGCUCCGCGGCCCAACGUGGGCCUGUGACGUCCAGCCUCCUGCUGGCCUAUGAAGAGGCAGUUUCUCUUCGAGCCUCGGCCUCGCUCCACCUUUCCUCCAUCCUCCUUCCCUCCUCCUCGUCCUCCUCGUCCUCCUCCUCUCCUCCUCCUCCUCGUCCUCCUCGUCCUCCUCCUCUUCCCGGGCUCGGGGAGGAAACGUUCCUGGAGGAGCAGCAGGACGCCCGAGCAGACCAAUGGCAAGCGGCGGAACGCCGAGAUUGGCACAGAGAAUGGGAAGGACCUCCAAGGAUCUCCAUCUGACAGACGAGGCUACGAAGACCCAGAAGCAUUAAGUGACAGAUCCGAAUUCACGUGUGGCAGAGGCAGAGCUGUGUCACUGGUUAAAGUGCCAAUCCUAAAUUCCACCCAACUUUGGAAAGUCCCUCUCGUACCCACUCUCAUCACCCUUUCCAAACAGUUGUUCCCCACCUUGUUUCCGGACAACCCACUUUAUCUGAAUGGUCCUGAAGGUGUCCUAGUUAGAAUUCUCCCGAGAGUCAUCAUUCCAGUUAAAAGGGCUUUGUGUAAAUGGGAUGUCUUGGGUAUUAAUAAUGACAGUUUCCAGCGGUGUCAGUCUGUAUGAAUAAAUCGAACACACAAGGGUUGAAAACUUUCAAAAUUGCAGAGAGUUUAGAGUUCUGUUUAAAGUAGAGAACUGUCAGGCCAUUUCCACAUGCUACAUGUGGGAAUCUUGUAGCCACAGCCAAAUAGUGACAUACCCUUCAGCGGGAAAUGCAGUUCUUCAACAAACAUCCUAAUAACAACCAUCUUACUUAUGUUGGAAUUUAGUUAACAAGUUUUUGGUAUUAAUCAUUUUUACCCCCUCAUUUGAAAAGGGCUGAUUUAGGAAAGCACUUGUUAUUUCAGCUGGGAUGUGUUUUAUUUGAAGACUUGCCUAUCACAAGGGUGCUCUUUCUUGAAAUAUUAAAGAAUCGUUUUUAGAGAA